rnacentral:rRNA from 1 species
CGUAGGGUGCGAGCGUUAAUCGGAAUUACUGGGCGUAAAGCGUGCGCAGGCGGUGAUGUAAGACAGAUGUGAAAUCCCCGGGCUCAACCUGGGAACUGCAUUUGUGACUGCAUCGCUGGAGUGCGGCAGAGGGGGAUGGAAUUCCGCGUGUAGCAGUGAAAUGCGUAGAUAUGCGGAGGAACACCGAUGGCGAAGGCAAUCCCCUGGGCCUGCACUGACGCUCAUGCACGAAAGCGUGGGGAGCAAACAGGAUUAGAUACCCUGGUAGUCCACGCCCUAAACGAUAGUCAACUGGUUGUUGGGUCUUCACUGACUCAGUAACGAAGCUAACGCGUGAAGUUGACCGCGUGGGGAGUACGGCCGCAAGGUUG